rnacentral:rRNA from 1 species
UGAGGAAUAUUGGUCAAUGGACGCAAGUCUGAACCAGCCAAGUAGCGUGCAGGAUGACGGCCCUAUGGGUUGUAAACUGCUUUUAUAUGGGGAUAAAGUGGGGAACGUGUUCCCUUUUGCAGGUACCAUAUGAAUAAGGACCGGCUAAUUCCGUUCCAGCAGCCGCGGUAAUACGGAAGGUUCGGGCGUUAUCCGGAUUUAUUGGGUUUAAAGGGAGCGUAGGCCGUUUGGUAAGCGUGUUGUGAAAUGUAGGAGCUCAACUUCUAGAUUGCAGCGCGAACUGUCAGACUUGAGUGCGCACAACGUAGGCGGAAUUCAUGGUGUAGCGGUGAAAUGCUUAGAUAUCAUGAAGAACUCCGAUUGCGAAGGCAGCUUACGGGAGCGCAACUGACGCUAAAGCUCGAAGGUGCGGGUAUCGAACAGG